rnacentral:lncRNA from 1 species
GAACAACUAAUGCCAAUACUCCUUAAAUUAUUCCAUGAAAUAGAAAGGGAUGGAACACUUCCAAAUUAAUUCUAUGAAGCAAGUAUCACACUCAUGCCAAUACCAGAUAAGGACACAUCAAGGAAAAAAAUGAUAGAUCAAUAUAUCUAAUGAGCUUAGAUGUAAAAAUUCUUAAUAAAGUAUUAGCAAAUCAUGUUCCAUAACAUAUUAAGAUUAUACAUCAUGACAGUCUUUGGUUUUAUCUGAGAUGCAAAGAUGGUUUAACAUACACAAACAAUAAAUGUAAUUCAUCAUAUGAAUAGGAUUAAGGACAAAGAUCACUUAGUCAUCUCAAUAGAUGGCAGAGAAAGCCUUCAACAAAAUUCAGCACCUGUUCAUGAUAAAAACACACAAUAAACUAGGGAUAGAAGGCGAGUACCUCAACAUUAUAAAGGCUAUUUAUGAAAAAGCCAGAGCCAACCUUUAUUUGGGGGUUCACGGUUUCAGAGGUCUCAGUCCAUAGAAAAUGGGGAAAAAAAUGAAAGCAUGUACUUUAAAAUCUGGAACAAGUCUACUCUCACCACUCCUAUUUAAUAUAGUGCUAGAAAUUCUAUCCAGAGCAAUUAGGCAAGAGAAGGAAAUAAAAGGGAUAAAAAUAGAAAGGAAGAAGUCAAAUUAUCACAAUUUGCUAAUGAUAUGAUCCUGCAUUUAGAAGAUCCAAACAAAACAAAACAAACAAACAAACAAACAAACCACAAACAAACAAACUCCACCAAAAGAGUGCUAGAGGUUUUUGGCAAAGCAUGUUGGAGAAAAGACAGCCUUUUAAACAAAUAGUGCUGGGGAAAAUGUUUGUCCUUAUGUAGAAGAAUGAAACUGGACCCUUAUCUCUCACCCUGCACAAAAUCAAUGCAAAGUGGAUAAAAGAUCCAGGAAUAAGACCAGAAACUAUGCAACUCCUAGAAGAAACUGUAGGGCCAACACUCCAAUGCAUAGGCACAGGCAACAACUUUCUCAAUAGAAUACCCAAAGGUCAGGAAAUAAUGCCAAAAGUUAACAAAUGGAAUGGCAUCAAAUUAGAAAAAACUUCUUAACAGCAAAGAAAACAAUUAAGAAUGAGAAGAGAGAGAACCUAUAGAAUGGAAGAAAAUCUUUGCUAGCUACUCUUCUGUCAGAGGAUUAUAUCUAGAAUACACAACUCAAAAAAUUAAAAUAAAAAAUCUGAAAACCCCAAUUAAUAAAUGGGCAAAUAAAAAUUGGUGCAACCACUAUGGAAAGAAGUAUGGAGAUUCCUCAGAAAACUUGGAAUGGAACCACCAUUUAUCCAUUAUCCCACUCCUCAGUACAUGCCCAAAGGACUUAAAAUCAGCAUACUACAAUAACAUAGCCACAUCAAUGUUUAUAGCAGCUCAAUUCACAAUAGUCAAGCUAUGGAAUCAACCUAGGUGCCCUACAACAGAUGAAUGGAUAAGGAAAAUGUGAUAUACAUACACAACAGAUUAUUAGUCAGCCAUGAAGAAAAAGGAAAUUAUGGCAUUUGCCAGUAAAUGGAAAUGAAAUAAGCCAGUUCCCAAAAAAUUAAAGGCCAAAUGUUCUCUCUGAUAUGUGGAUGCUAGCCCACAACAAAGGAGGGUAGGAAGGGGGAAGAAUAGAAGUUCAUUGGAUAAAACAAAGGGGAAUGAAGGGAAGGAAGGAGUGAUGGGAAUAGCAAAGGGAGUAGAAUGAAUCGGAUAUAACUUUCCUAUGCUCACAAAUGACUUAUUUGUGACCAUUAUGUUAAGUGAAAUAAGUUUCACACCAUCAGUGAAGCCUCACAUCAUGUACAACCACAAGAAUGGGAUCCUAACUAGAAUAGUUAUAUUCCAUGUAUGUAUGAUGUAUCAAAAUACACUCUACUGUUUAUGUUUAUCUAAAAAGAACAAAUAAAAAAUGGGCAAAUGAAUUAAAUAGAUAUUUCUUAAAAGAAGAAAUAUAAAUGGCCAACAAAUAUGUGAAAAAUAUGUUAAACAUCUUUAGUAAUAAGGGAAAUGCAAAUCAACACUACACUGAGAUUUUAUCACACCAGUCAGAAGGGCAGUCAUGAAGAAACAAACAAUCAUCAAUGCACAAG